AUGCCGGCCGGUCGUGCUCCGGGUCUGGACGGGUUUAUUGGCCUCUUUUUUCAGAAGGCGUGGAGCACUAUCAAAGGAGACUUACUUGCCGCAAUACACCAUCUCUUUCUUGGCAAUGGCCGCGGCUUUGGAAGACUAAACCAGGCCCUGAUUACUCUUAUCCAUAAGAAGGCCGGUGCAUGUCUUGUGGGAGAUUUCCGUCCCAUCAGUUUGGUUCAUAGUUUGCCCAAAAUCGGCUCCAAGUUACUCGCCAAUCGGUUGCGGCCGCCUAUGAAUGAGCUAGUUCACGCCAAUCAAUCGGCAUUCAUCAAGGGGAGAAAUCUACACGACAAUUUCUUGCUCGUGAGACAGGUGGCUAGAUCCCUACAUCGCUGGAGAGCGAAAGGUGUUUUACUCAAGUUGGAUAUCUCGCGAGCAUUUGACACCUUGUCUUGGUCAUUCCUAUUCGAGGUUCUUUGUCCCAAGGGGUUUUCGGACAUUUGGAUGUCCUGGAUUGCGAUCUUGCUCUCUACGGCUAGCUCAUGUGUGGUGGUCAAUGGGCACGGGGACCAAAAUUCGCUCAUGCUCAAGGGCUACGGCAAGGCGAUCCGGUCUCGCCGCUGCUUUUUGUAA
rnacentral:rRNA from 1 species